AAUUUAAAAAAAUUAAAGCAAAAUGGAGAAAUCCCACUUAUUGGAAGAUUGCUGGAUGAAUAACCCGUUCACAAGCAGGACUUUGGAGUUGAUAAAGAUUGCUUAUUUCUCAAAUAUGAUGCGAUUGGGUUCUUUCAUAUGCAGGGUUCUUUGUAGGAGUUAAAAUGUUUGACUUCACAGCAAUUUUCCUGCUUGUAGUAUUUGAAGAUACCAAA
rnacentral:misc_RNA from 1 species